rnacentral:tRNA from 1 species
AUAACAUUAAUAUGUCCAGUUAAAAUUAUUAAAUAAAUAUUUCUUU